GGAGAGGUACCCAAGUGGUUUAAGGGAGCGGUCUUGAAAACCGCCAGGCGUGUCAAAGCGUGCGUGGGUUCGAAUCCCACCCUCUCCGCCA
rnacentral:tRNA from 1 species